GGGGCUGGGCCUGCGCCUGCAGCCUCUGGGAUUGUCGGGGCCCUAAACGCUCCCGGAGCGCUGAAUGUUCCCCCGCAGGGACAUGGGUGGGGGAUUCUUGGCGGCUCUCGGGGGAAGGUUUGGGAUUUUGGAAAGGCUGUUCUAAGGGUGUGGGAACUGGUGGUCCCUGGCUCUCAACCACGUGCCGGGAACUGUAUGGACUGACACUGACCACAUCUCUGAAAUCUCCAAGGAUGGAAAGUCCCGUGAGUCCCAGAGACGCAGGUCCUGCUGUGGCAUUUCACAGAUGGCAGGCUCAGGGAGGGCGAUCCUCGGUGAGAAAGGGCAUCCGAGUAGAUGGCUGGGGAGCUGCGUGUGGACCCUGGCGCCAUCCUCCUCGGGCGCCUGCUCCGGCCCGGGUGGUGACUUUUGUCAUCUCCGAUACCAGCUGCGGCCUGUGAGCUUUUAGAAAAGAAAGACGCUGCCGGUUCCAUAACACUUUAGAUCUAGAACCCGUGAACAUUUCUGCAGCAAAA
rnacentral:lncRNA from 1 species